UUUUUAACACCAUUAGUUUGUAUUUAACGGAAAUGAUUUGAUUGACACAAAUUUUUUCUAUAUGGGGACGAAAUUGACAUUUUUCUAAAAGGGGGACGAAUUUGACANACUUCAACCAAACUGGGGACAAAAGAAGCAAUUAAACCAAAAAUAAUUUAUAGGUCUAGAAAUCAAUAUGUCUAUAAAAAUAUACAAUUAGACUUUGUAAACAUACAAAAGAUAAAACAUGUAUACAGAGAAUAGAUUUUGUAAAAAUAUAAAAGAUAUGUAAGAAUACGUAGAAUAGACUUGUUAAAAAUAUAAAUUAGUGUAUGAAAAGACUAGUUUAAUGUUUAUUGUUAGCCUUGUCUAAUCA
rnacentral:lncRNA from 1 species